AAAAUUGAGGCUCAGAGAGUGACCAGAUCAAAGUGCUUUCAAAAACUAUCUUCAAAGAUAUCUCCGCUAUAACAAAAUCCUCACCAAAAACUUACAAGAAUUCUGGCUUUCUAUCCUCGUUUUUGAAACCUCAAUGAGAAAUUGAUGGCUUCAAUAGAGAUUCUGUGAACAGGCUUUUAUCUCAGAAAGAGGGUGAUAUUUUCUACAUUUUCCCAUUUCUCCAUUUAAUCCCCCUUCAACCUGAGAGCUAGGCAUGGUUGUGAUACCCCUUUUACAGAUGAGAAUAAAAAGGCUUUGAAAGUGGUGCCUUGCCAAAGCUUGUAGAUUUGAACCCGUGCGUGACUCCAGAUCCUCUCCUCCAGGAUAAACUGCCUUUCAGGAUGAACUGUCCUUCUCAGGACUAAGCGCAGGCGU
rnacentral:lncRNA from 10 species